CGAAGGGGGCUAGCGUUGUUCGGAAUUACUGGGCGUAAAGCGAACGUAGGCGGUGUUCCAUGUCAGAGGUGAAAGCCUGGGGCUCAACUCCAGAAUUGCCUUUGAAACGGGGACGCUUGAGUCCGAGAGAGGAUGGCGGAAUUCCUAGUGUAGAGGUGAAAUUCGUAGAUAUUAGGAAGAACACCGGUGGCGAAGGCGGCCAUCUGGCUCGGUACUGACGCUCAGGUUCGAAAGCGUGGGGAGCAAACAGGAUUAGAUACCCUGGUAGUCCACGCCGUAAACGAUGAGUGCUAGUUGUUGGGAAGUUUACUUCUCAGUGACGCAGCUAACGCGAUAAGCACUCCGCCUGGGGAGUACGGCCGCAAGGUUA
rnacentral:rRNA from 1 species